CAUUCAUUUUCAUGCCUCUUCAUCUUUCAGUAUAGUCAUUAAUGAAACCACAAGGGUGUGUGCAUUCAUUUGUAAUGUGAAUACAACAGCCUGAAUGUUCCCCAGAGCCGCAGCAUCUGUCACGGUGGGGACAACACCUUCUCCCCCUGCUCCUGGUGCUGCACCCUCUGUAUUCAUCUUCGGAGAGAGCUAAGCUCUCUUCUGUACAGGUCAGACUGACACUGCUCUACAGUGUGGCAUGAUCCUUCACUGUAGGACAAAAGCCUGUUACUCUGUGGUGCUUCAUUUCUGCAGUUUUUUGUUUAUGACAGACCCACAGCGUCGACAUCUGUCCUGUACUGUGUAGCAGAAAUUACUGUAUUACAAAAAUUUGUCUUCAAAUAAUGUGGAUGGGUCAUGGCUAUUUCUGUGGACCAAGCCUGCAUAUUGCUUCUGCUUCUGGCUACAGAUGCCAUAGCUGGAGAUCAGAACAGAAGAGGAGAAGAUUUCGCUGUUUCCUGAACAGCUGGAAAGUGGCAGUGGAGUUUGCAGAGGCUGGCAACGGGACAGUACUGCCUGCAGAAUUCUUGAGAUGCCAGCUGGUGUAAUUCCAACCUUGUCACCGUGGUGUACCAUGGUCUAUGGAGCUGCUGCAAAAAUAUGGGCAAGAGGUGACAUGUGGAAAGGACUCCGGACUCACUAAGUUUUGAGGCACAGCAAAAACAAUAAGAUGUACUGGUGUGAAGACUGGGUAAGGAAUAACAAAAAGUACCUUGUACACCCACAUGCAUUGCAGAGUGGUGUGUGUUGGGAGAAACUGGUGGCGUUGCAGGACAUUUUAUAUGUUUUAUGUGACAGGUACUGUGCGAUGCUUUCAGAGUCACUGGACAGGACAACAUGAUCUGGGUCAUCAAGUGCUGUUUCCUGCUAUUGCAGGCCCACUGUCAUUCAAUCCUAUUGUAAACUGAUCGAUCUUUAUCUUAAAAGUAAUCUCAUUCCCCCACAAUGCUCAGUGGGAGACUGUUCCAGAACCUCUUUUGUCUGAUGGUUAGGGACCAUCUCCUGAUUACCAACCUAAAUGUAUUCAUAGUUAACUUGCAUUGAAUUGUUCUUGUGUCAACAUCUUAUUUUUGCUAAUAUAAUUAUUGUCUCUUGUUGCUGUUUCUGCUCAGAAGUAUUUAUAGAGAGCUGUCAUACCUCCACUCAUCUCUCAUUUUGCUAGGCUAAACAAGGCAUGCUUUCCUAGCUCCCUCCUAAAUAGUAGUCACAGAAGGAUGUGACAAACAAAGAACACAUGCAGCUUAUUGCUGGCCUGUUGGGGACCAGAACAGGGCCUACUCAACUCUAGGUUUACUCUGUGUCUGCAACACAUGUCAUAUGGAGGACGGACUGUUGUUGCCUGUAGGUAGCACUCCAUGAUAGCACCUUGCAGGUUGGGCCACCACUAUUAUGCUGGAGGCAUUUGUAUUUAGGUUGGUACCAGUUCUGACUGUCUGAAAAAUUAACUGUUUGCUGUAUUAUGCCAGACAGAUCAUACGACUUGAAUUAUUUGCAAGUAGAAUAUGGAAAGAAAUUACAGAGGUAGAAACAUGGGAGAUUUUUAUAACAUUUAUUAAAGGGAAGAUAUUUAUCCUGGUAAUUUGGCUUAUAUGUGCAAGGGCACACAUCAGAAACCUUCAGAAGAAGUUGAGGUGCUUCAAGAUGAACCGGAGUGGAAGCUCUUUCAGCUCAUUGCUCACUGCACCGUGCAAUAUUUUGAAAUUUCUUCUUUUCUUUCAUUAAUUGCUGUCCAGAUGGAAGUUGAGGGUUUUCAGCAUUGUCUGGGGAUGCUGAAGCUGUGACAGCCUGAGAAACAGUUUCGACCAGCCUCCCAGUGAUUCUCAAAUACUUGCUGUGUGCCUGGGCUGUGCUCUGAUCACUUGUACACUAUACAAGGAGGAUAAACUAUUCUCCCAAGAAGGGCUGGUUCCAAAUGAGGCAUGUAAGUCUGCGUGCCCCACAUUUGUUUUGAUGAGAAACCUGGGGAAGAGUUUGGUGGGUUUUAGUUAUGAUUUCAGACUGUGAGCGUGUCAAAAAAAAAAAAAAAGAAAAAAAAAAGAAGAAAGCUGUUGUUUGUUUCUAUGCAGGAGAUGCAACACUUAGUGUACUUAAGUAGAGAGAAGUAGAGAGAUUGUAUCAGUGUGUAUCCCAGUCAUAACUCAUUUCUCUUUUUAACAGUACCAGCCUGGUGAGGCUAUUGAGUACCUGUGCUGCACUUGGAGCACAGAAAGAAUGGGAUGUUUUGCCGUGCUAAAUUCAAUUCACGGUUAAAUGUCUCAGGUAAUGGAAGCUUUUACCACCUCACUUGAGAGCAUUGUAUUGUCUGCUAGAUUUCAUAAGCAAGGAGUUUUUUAUUUAGUUGAGCUGCUUGCUUUUUCUGAAGAAAUAAAUGGCCAAAUAAAAAACAAAUCUGAAAACCUC